GACGGAAGGUGCAAGCGUUGCUCGGAAUCACUGGGCGUAAAGGGCGCGUAGGCGGCCUGCUAAGUCGAACGUGAAAUCCCUGGGCUCAACCCAGGAACUGCGUCCGAUACUGGUUGGCUUGAAUCCGGGAGAGGGAUGUGGAAUUCCAGGUGUAGCGGUGAAAUGCGUAGAUAUCUGGAGGAACACCGGUGGCGAAGGCGACAUCCUGGACCGGCAUUGACGCUGAGGCGCGAAAGCCAGGGGAGCAAACGGG
rnacentral:rRNA from 1 species